rnacentral:tRNA from 1 species
GUUUAUAUAGUUUAAAAAAACAUUACAUUUUCAAUGUAAAAUUAGAAACUUUUCUUAUAAAUA